rnacentral:rRNA from 1 species
AGCACUAAGUCACUUUGUCUUUAUGGCAAAUGUGAGAUGCAGUGUAUGGAAUGUCAAAUUUCUAGUAUGAGAAAUUAACGAUUUAAGUCCUUCUUAAAUGAGGCCAUUUACCCAAAGAGGGUGCCAGGCCCGUAUAACGUUAAUGAUUACUAGAUGACAUUUCCAAAGAGUCGUGUUGCUUGAUAGUGCAGCACUAAGUGGGUGGUAAACUCCAUCUAAAACUAAAUAUAACCAUGAGACCGAUAGUAAACAAGUACCGUGAGGGAAAGUUGAAAAGAACUCUGAAUAGAGAGUUAAAUAGUACGUGAAACUGCUUAGAGGUUAAGCCCGAUGAACCUGAAUAUCCUUUAUGGAAAAUUCAUCAUUAUGAUUUUAAUAUUAAUAAUAUUAUAAUAAUGGUGUGCAUUUUUUCCAUAUAUGGACAUUGUAAUCUAUUAAUGUUAAACUUUAUUUAUCAUAAGAUCAUUGGCUUUAGUUUAUUCAAAUUAUUUUGCUUGCAUUUUAACAUAGAAUAAAUGCUGAUGAUUUGAUAAAGUGUUGAUAGAUUUAUUAUAUAUAGUGCUUGAAUAUUUUAUUAUAUUCUAUAAUGGCAUAUUGAUCAUUGAUCUUUGUGUUUAUAUUAUAUGCACUUAUAUGAUUAACAAUGCGAAAGAUUCAGGAUACCUUCGGGACCCGUCUUGAAACACGGACCAAGGAGUCUAACAUAUUUGCAAGUUAUUGGGAAUUAAAAACCUAAUAGCGAAAUUAACAUAACUUAUAUAAUGGGAUUAGUUUUUAGUACUAUUUAUAGUCUAUUAAUUCAAUCCCGGGGCGUUCUAUACAGUUAUGUAUAAUAAUAUUUAUAUUAUUUAUACCUCUAACUAGAGCGUACCUUGAGCAUAUAUGCUGUGACCCGAAAGAUGGUGAACUAUACUUGAUCAGGUUGAAGUCAGGGGAAACCCUG